AUGUUAGGUGCCACCUUCGCAGCACCAAAGGAUAAACAUAAGGUUGCCACUUUGUCUCACAUUAUCAACGAGGUCACACCCUCACACAAGAAAAGCAAGAUAAAUUCAUAUGACGCCGAUGACGAUGUUACCCCCAAGAACUCAAAAUUGCAACCACAACCUGAAGAGUCAAAAUGUUGGGCUGACAGCCUAAUAGGCGGCAUCCUCAUGUUCACCGAUGAGAUAGACCCCCUGAAGAUGUUGUCCUAUUUGCUUAGAUCUCACCAUUCAAGCCCACCCCCAUAUCUACCUUGCACACCUCUUAUGCUGGUUCUCAUUGGACUGAUGGUAGAUUACACAUUCAUCCACCAACUGACGUUCUAA
rnacentral:rRNA from 1 species